ACCCGUGCAUGUGAAACCGUCGCCUUCAUAACCGGGAUAGCAGGUACAGGUGAAACUGCCCAAGGUAUUGGUACAUUGGGCGAACACGUCACAAGGUCGAUACUUGCACUCGUUCUCGUCUAAAAAAGGAUACACAAGCGUCGAGCAGCCGCAGCCUCCAUAUCCAUCGUUACAAUGGCACUCGUGAUCGAGACAGGCGCCAUUUUGGCAGCGUGCACCUUCAGUUAAGACGCAGUCACCUACACAACAGAAGAAAAAAGAAAUUGUUGUCUUUACUGAUCUGUGAAUGAAUGAUACCAUGAGAUAUGAGUUGCAUUGAUAACAAGGUAGCCCUCAAAACCCAAAUAGAACAAGGAAUUGAAUUAUG